rfam:Pelecanus crispus contig70849, whole genome shotgun sequence.
AGCUCAGUUGGUUAGAGCAUGGUGCUAAUAACGCCAAGUUCACAGGUUCAAUCCCUGCU